AUUGAACGCUGGCGGCAGGCCUAACACAUGCAAGUCGAGCGGAGCGGCGGACGGGUGCGUAAUGCCUAGGAAUCUGCCUGGUAGUGGGGGAUAACGUCCGGACACGGGCGCUAAUACCGCAUACUAUCAGAUGAGCCUAGGUCUGAUUAGCUAGUUGGUGGGGUAAUGGCCUACCAGGGCGACGAUCCGUAACUGGUCUGAGAGGAGGAUCAGUCACACUGGAACUGAGACACGGUCCAGACUCGUACGGGAGGCAGCAGGGGGGAAUAUUGGACAAUGGGCGAAAGCCUGAUCCAGCCAGGCCGAGUGUGUGAAGAAGGUCUUCGGAUUGUAAAGCACUUUAAGUUGGGAGGCGUUACCAACAGAAUAAGCACCGGCUAACUACGUGCCAGCAGCCGCGGUAAUUC
rnacentral:rRNA from 1 species